CGCGUAGGCGGCCUAUUAAGUCGGUUGUGAAAUCUCUCGGCUUAACUGAGAGGGGUCAACCGAAACUGGUGGGCUUGAGGACAGCAGAGGGAAGUGGAAUUCCCGGUGUAGUGGUGAAAUGCGUAGAUAUCGGGAGGAACACCAGUGGCGAAGGCGGCUUCCUGGGCUGUCCCUGACGCUGAGGCGCGAAAGCGUGGGUAGCAAACAGGAUUAGAUACCCUGGUAGUCCACGCCGUAAACUAUGGACACUAGGUAUGGGGGGUAUCGGACCCCUUCCGUGCCGAAGUUAACGCUAUAAGUGUCCCGCCUGGGGAGUACGGCCGCAAGGCUAAA
rnacentral:rRNA from 1 species